rnacentral:rRNA from 1 species
GACGAACGCUGGCGGCGUGCUUAACACAUGCAAGUCGAACGAUGAAGCAGGGAAACGCCAACUUCGGUUCAAAUUUCACUUCGGAUUAGUAGCAGACGGGUGAGUAACUCGUGAGCAACCUACCUCUUACAAAGGGAUAGCUACGGGCAACCGUGAUUAAUACCAUAUGACACAUUCAUAAGGCGUCUUAAGAAUGUUAAAGCUACGACGGUAAGAGAUGGGCUCGCGUCCCAUUAGCUAGUUGGUGAGGUAACGGCCCACCAAGGGGACGAUGGGUAACCGGGCAGAGAGGGUGAACGGUCACAUUGGAACUGAGACACGGUCCAAACUCCUACGGGAGGCAGCAGUGGGGAAUAGUGCACAAUGGAGGGAACUCUGAUGCAGCGACGCCGCGUGAGCGAUGAAGGAAUUCGUUUCGUAAAGCUCUGUUCUAUGGGAAGAAAAGGACUGUACCACAGGAGAAAGCCCCGGCUAAAUACGUG